AGGAGAUUCAUAUCAUCUGGGUGUUAGAUCCAGUAAUAUGUUACAAUAGCCCAUUUGGGCAGGGCACAGAAAGGAGAAACACAUUACCUGGGUGCAGGGACCAGUGAUAUGUCACAAUGCCCUCUGCGACAGCACCAAGGCAAGAGUAUAGGGUCACAUGAUCUACAUGCUGGGUCCAGCGAUAUGUCACAAUCCCAUCUGUGUACUGGGCCCAGGCAGGAGAGUCAAAUCGCUCACAUUCUGAGCAGAGGUAUGUGUCACAAUCACACCUGCAGAAAGACCCAGAAAUCAGAUAAAACAGUUCUUCACGUGUCUUCAUUCUAGGUAUGAGUCAAUACCAUUUGGAUAUUGGGUCUAAGUACACAAGUCACCAUCUCAAUGUAGAUGAAUCCAUGCAUAACAACCUCAAUCUCUUCUGCGGACUGUGUCUCUUAGUAAAAUCAUAGCCUUGGCCAGGCGUGGUGCCUCACACCUGUAACCCCAGCACUUUGGGAGGCCAAGGCAGGUGGAUCACCUGAGGUCAGGAGUAGAGACCAGCCUGGCCAACAUGGCAAAAUCUCAUCUCUACUCAAAAUACAAAAAUUAGCUGGAUAUGGUGGCGGGCGCCUGUAAUCCCAGCUACUAGGGAGGCUGAGGCAGGAGAAUCACUUGAACAUGGGAGGUGGAGUGAGCCAAGAUCAUGCCAUUGCACUCCGGCCUGGGCAACAAGAGCGAAACUCGGUCUUAAAAAUAAAAAAAUAAAACAGCCUCACAGGUGUGCUGAAUCUUGACCUGAGAG
rnacentral:lncRNA from 1 species